AUUUCUGUCUUUGGAUUGGUUCUAUUUGCAUCACUUAUUGCAAACAUGCAGAAAUAUCUACAAUCUACCAGUGUGAGAGUUGAAGAGAUGAGAGUCAAAAGGAGGGAUGCAGAACAGUGGAUGUCCCACCAUAUGCUACCAGAUUUGCUGAAGGAAAGAAUUAGAAGGUAUGAGCAAUACUUGUAUGUGUGAUGAGCAUUUUCUACUUCUUAUUUAUUGGUACCGGUCUAGGUGUUUGGGGACAUGGAUAAUCAGUUGUUGGAUGCACUGUGUGACAGACUGAAGCCAGUUCUUUACACGGAGAAAAGUUACAUAUAUAGUUCGUGAAGGGGAUCCAGUUGAUGAACUGUGGAAACUAUAUCAACAGUUGAAGCCUUUGCUAUCAUGUCUGAUGACUUGAUGUUUGUUGCUUCCCAAUUUCGAUGGCUUUUAAACAGCAAACAACUUCAGCACACUUUCAGGUUCUAUUCCCUGCAAUGGAGGACAUGGGCUGCACGUUUCUUACAAGCAGCUUGGCACAGAUACCGAAAAAAGGAAGGAGACCAUGGCACAUCGUUCUUUGACUGAUCUCUCCUACAGG